rnacentral:rRNA from 1 species
GAUGAACGCUAGCUAUAGGCUUAACACAUGCAAGUCGAGGGGCAGCACUUCGGGUGGCGACCGGCGCACGGGUGAGUAACGCGUAUGCAACCUACCUUCUACAGGGGGAUAACCCCUCGACAGAGAGACUAAUACCGCAUAAAACAGGGGCACCGCACGGUGAUAUGUGUUAAAGAUUGAUUGGUAGAAGCUGGGCAUCCGUAUCAUUAGCUUGUUGGUCAGGUAACGGCUCACCAAGUGAACGAUGUUUAGGGGUUCUGAGCGAAAGGUCCCCCCCACUGGUACUGCGAGACGGACCCGACUCCUACGCGAGGCAGCAGUGAGGAAUAUUGGUCACUGGACGCAAGUCUGAACCAGCCAAGUCGCGUGAAGGACGAAGGUAUUAUGUCUUGUAAACUUUUUUUGCAGGGGAAUACAGUGAGGCUUGCGAGCCUUUUUGCAAGUACCCUGCGAAUAAGGAUCGGCUAACUCCGUGCCAGCAGCCGCGGUAAUAC